rnacentral:rRNA from 1 species
GACGAACGCUGGCGGCGUGCUUAACACAUGCAAGUCGAGCGGUAAGGCCCUUUCGGGGGUACACGAGCGGCGAACGGGUGAGUAACACGUGGGUGACCUGCCCUCAGCUCUGGGAUAAGCCUGGGAAACUGGGCUAAUACCGGAUAUGACUCCAUGACGCAUGUUGUGGGGUGGAAAGCCUUGUGCGGCUGAGGAUGGGCCCGCGGCCUAUCAGCUUGUUGGUGGGGUGANGGCCUACCAAGGCGACGACGGGUAGCCGGCCUGAGAGGGCGACCGGCCACACUGGGACUGAGACACGGCCCAGACUCCUACGGGAGGCAGCAGUGGGGAAUCUUGCGCAAUGGGCGAAAGCCUGACGCAGCGACGCCGCGUGAGGGAUGAC